AGCGAACGCUGGCGGCAGGCUUAACACAUGCAAGUCGAGCGGGCAUAGCAAUAUGUCAGCGGCAGACGGGUGAGUAACGCGUGGGAACGUACCUUUUGGUUCGGAACAACACAGGGAAACUUGUUCUAAUACCGGCUAAGCCCUUACGGGGAAGGAUUUAUCGCCGAAAGAUCGGCCCGCGUCUGAUUAGCUAGUUGGUGAGGUAAUGGCUCACCAAGGCGACGAUCAGUAGCUGGUCUGAGAGGAUGAUCAGCACAUUGGGACUGAGACACGGCCCAAACUCCUACGGGAGGCAGCAGUGGGGAAUAUCGGACAAUGGGCGCAAGCCUGAUCCAGCCAUGCCGCGUGAGUGAUGAAGGCCCUAGGGUUGUAAAGCUCUUUUGUGCGGGAAGAUAAUGACGGUACCGCAAGAAUAAGCCCCGGCUAACUUCGUGCCAGCCGCCGCCGUAACAC
rnacentral:rRNA from 1 species